GCGCGCGGCCGGGCCCCUGAGGCGGCGCGGGGCGGAGGGGAGGGGGCUGCUCCUGCUGCGGGGGCGGCGCGCGGCGGCUGUGGCGGCGGUGGCUGCAGCUGCGGCGGCGCGCUCGGGGCCGGCGUCCAAGGCGCCGCCGGGUUGGAGCUGCCCCCGUGGCCGCUGCUGCCGGAGCCAUGUACCGCAGCGGCGCCCGCUCUUCGGUCUCUUCGCACCGGCCUAAAGAUAGCGGCGGGGGCGGCCCGCGUACCGGCCGCACCUCCGGCUCCUCGUCUGGCGCGGUUCGCCGCGCCUCGCCGCCCUCCUCUGGCUCCUCCUCGUCGCGGACUCCGGCCCGCCGGCCCCGCUCGCCCUCAGGGCACCGCGGCCGCCGGGCCUCGCCGUCGCCGCCGCGGGGUCGCCGAGGAUCCCCGUCGUCGCCCCGCGGCCGCCGUGCCUCCCCGUCGCCGCCGCGGGCCCGUCGCGGAUCACCGUCGCCGCCGCGGGGCCGACGACUCUUCCCGCCGGGCCCGGCCAGCUUCCGAGGCAGCAGCCGCGGGGAGUCCCGCGCUGACUUCGCUCGGGAUGGCCGCGGAGAACAUCCAGGCGACAGCGGCAGCCGGAGACGCUCUCCUGGUCUGCGUUCUGACUCUUCCUUGGAACAGAGCUUAAGAAUUACCGUUGGCAAUGACCACUUCUGUGUUGGCACACCAGAACAGCAGAGGCUCUGUGAUCGGCUAGGGUCCCCAGCGGAUAACCUGGAGGACAUGGACAGGGAUGACCUGACUGAUGAUUCUGUCUUCACUCGAAGCUCCCAAUGCUCUCGAGGUCUUGAACGAUAUAUUUCCCGGGAGGAGGGGCUUCUCAGUCCCUUCUUGGGACAACUUGACGAGGACUACCGAACAAGAGAAACUUUCCUGCCUCGAUCUGAUUAUAGUUCCCAUAUCAGUUGUCAUGAUGAGUUGUUGCGGGGCACAGAACGGAAUAGAGACAAGCUCAAAGGUUCCUAUUCUAUACGAUCUGAGGAGAGGAACCGGGAGGCCAAACGGCCCCGUUAUGAUGACACAGAGAAGAUGCAUAGUAUGGGAGGGGAUCACCCGAGUUUUACAUCAGGGACCCGCAACUAUCGACAGCGUAGACGAAGCCCAAGCCCUAGGUUUCUAGAUCCUGAGUUUCGAGAGCUGGACCUUGCCAGGCGAAAGCGAGAGGAAGAGGAGGAACGAAGUAGGAGCUUGAGUCAGGACCUGGUGGAAAUGGAUGGUGGUGGCAGUAGCUGUCCUAUCCCUGGACUGUCAGGUGUCCUAACAGCAUCGGAGCCAGGAUAUUCUUUGCAUCGGCCUGAGGAAGUAUCUGUAAUGCCCAAGAAGUCCAUCCUGAAGAAGCGGAUUGAGGUGGACAUGGAGCCCCCCACGCAGCUUGAGAAUUUUUCCAGCAGUACCAGCUCCAGCCAGGAUCACCCUCUCUACUCUGGACACUCAUCUCUUCCACUAAGUGGUGCUAUAGCUGCUUUUGCCUCAGAGAUUGAGAGCAACAAAGAGACUAUGGUAGAGACUGCCCUGAAGGAAUCGCAGGACAGCCUCUACCAAUGGGGUCCCCUUCCUGGGGUACCCAAAGAUAGCAGUCCUCUCAGAGAAAAGUUUGGAAGUUUUCUGUGCCACAAGGAGAAAUUGGAUACAAAGGCUGAGGGACCUGAGCGACAUACAGAUUUCUUGCUGCCCCAUGAGAGGGCUAGCCAGGAUGGCAGUGGUUUUUCCCGUAUUUUGAGUAUGUUGGCAGAUUCUGCCAGUACACAGGAAAAAAGGCGACGUAGCUUUCCUGACAUUGAGGAUGAGGAGAAAUUUCUUUAUGGGGAUGAAGAAGAGGAUUUAAAGGCAGAAUCCCCACCAAAGCCUCUUGGGGGCUCUGAGAGAGAUGUUAUGAGACAGAAAGUAAGCUCUCUGCCCUCUUCAGCUCCACCUGUAAAGCUAGAAUCACUGGAAGAGACCAAUCCAGAGUAUGCCAAGAUUCAUGACUUGCUCAAGACUAUAGGGCUGGAUAUUGGGGUAGCAGAAAUUAGUAAAUUGGCUGCACGUACCCAGGAACGACUUCAUGGCAAGAAGCCAUCAUCACGCUCCUCAGCUGACCACCGUUCCUCAGUUGACCGACACUUUUCAAUUGACCACCGUUCCUCAGUUGACCGCCAUUUCUCUUCUGAUCGGUGCUCCUCAGAUCCCCACAGACUAGAGAGCCGGGAGGCACACCAUAUCAAUACUCAUUCCUCAGAGAUUUCCCAUCCACCCCCAGCCUCCCCUGUGGAUUCUUACCUUCUCACAAAAAACAGCCCCCCAUUUCUGAAGUCUGAUCAUCCAAUGGGUCAGAUUUCGGGACCAGAGGCAGUUGGCAGUGGGUUUCAGUCAUCUGUUGCAGUGAGGUGCAUGUUGCCAUCAACGCCAUCUGCCCCAAUUAGACUUCCACGCCCUGCUUCUUCAUCUCAGUUUCAUAUGCCAAGGGCCACUCAGUUUGCUGCAGCUCGGAUACCUCCAAACUACCAGGGACCUACCAUUCCCCCUGCCUCCUUUGAUGCCUAUAGGCACUACAUGGCUUAUGCAGCCUCAAGGUGGCCCAUGUACCCCAUCCCCCAACCAUCAAACCACCCUUUACCUGAACCACACAGGGUGAUGCCAGUUACCAAACAAGCUACUCGUAGCCGUCCUAAUCUCCGUGUGAUCCCCACUGUGACUCCUAAUGAUCCCAAGCAGGAGGAGUCAGUGCUAGGCUCAAUUCCUGCUGUCCAAGUGCCUGUCCAGGUGUCUUCCAUCCCAUCACUCAUAAGGUAUAAUCCGGAGAAGAUCUCUGAUGAGAAGAACCGUGCUUCUCAGAAGCAGAAGGUUAUUGAAGAGAGAGAAAAGCUAAAGAGUGAUCGGGAAGCCCGCCAGAAGAAGAUGUACUAUCUCAGGACCGAGCUGGAGCGGCUUCAUAAACAACAAGGAGAAAUGCUGCGCAAGAAGCGAAGGGAGAAGGAUGGACACAAAGACCCACUCCUGGUGGAGGUGAGUCGGCUUCAGGAUAACAUUAUGAAGGACAUUGCAGAGUUACGACAAGAAGCAGAAGAGGCAGAAAAGAAGCAAUCUGAACUGGACAAAGUGGCUCAGAUCUUGGGAAUUAACAUUUUUGAUAAAUCCCAGAAGUCUUCAAAUGACAGUAAAGAGCCUACAGAAAAGCUUGGAAAAGCAGAAAAAUCUAAGAGCCCAGAGAAAGUGUCAUCAUCCUCAAACUCUUCCAGCAGCAAGGAAUCAAAGGUAAACAGUGAGAAGUCCUGUUGCAAGAGCCCCAAGCCUGCCGAGAGCCCCCAGCCAGCUGCUAAGCAGUCUGAUCAGCCCAUUACUAUCUAUGAGUAUUACGAUGCUGGCAAUCACUGGUGCAAAGACUGCAACACCAUCUGUGGGACCAUGUUUGAUUUUUUCACCCAUAUGCACAAUAAGAAGCACACACAGACGCUGGAUCCCUACAACCGACCUUGGGCUUCAAAGACCCAGAGUGAGGCCAAGCAAGAUGCUGUAAAGCGUACUGACAAGAUAACUGUUCCUGCAAAAGGUUCUGAGUUUCUCAUUCCCAUCACUGGAUAUUACUGCCAGCUCUGUGAGGAAUUCUUGGGGGAUCCAAUUUCUGGAGAGCAACAUGUGAAGGGUCACCAACACAAUGAGAAAUAUAAGAAAUAUGUGGAUGAAAACCCAUUGUAUGAGGAGCGGCGGAAUCUGGACCGCCAAGCUGGCUUGGCUGUGGUCCUAGAGACAGAACGGCGACGUCAGAGUGAACUUAAGCGCAAACUUAGUGAAAAACCGAAGGAGGAGAAGAAAGAAAAAAAGGCAAAGGUUGUGAAGGAAGUAAAGGAGGAUGACAAGGACUCUGAAGAAUUAGAGGAUCAACUCUCUGACGGUGGGAACUCCCCUGAAAAGGCUGAAAAUAAAAGAAAAACUAAUAUCAAACUCCAGGUAAAAGAAGAGGUAAAAAAGGAGUCACUAACAUCUUCCUCUUUUGGAAAAUUCAGCUGGAAGAAGCCAGAAAAAGAGGAGGAAAAAAGUUCAGCGGCAGCCCCAAGUAUCCCUAAGGAAGAGAUUAUGGAAAGCAAUAAGGACAAAGAGGAUGGCAAAGCUGAAACUGGGAAGGCAAAGCCCAUCAAAAUCAAGCUUUCUGGGAAAACUGUUGUUGCACAUACCAGUCCUUGGAUGCCUGUUGUGACAACUUCAACCCAGACUAAGAUCCGACCCAACCUGCCUAUCCCAUCCACAGUACUCCGCAAGUCAGGUUCAGCCACAGUGAGCAAGCCAGCUCCUCUUAACACCUUUCUAUCCAUCAAGUCCUCUGGAACCACUGCUAAGCCUCUACCAGUGGUCAAAGAGUCUUCAGCUGAUCUCCUCUUGCCUCCAGACAUCAUCUCCAAAGCAUUUGGAGGGGAAGAGGUGAUUCUAAAAGGGUCUCCAGAGGAAAAAAUAGUGCUGGCUGAAAAGAAUGAACCAUCCCAUAUACCUGAGCAAAUGCUGCCACCCCCUCCACCACCUCCUCCACCACCCCCGCCACCACCCCCAGUUAUAUCUCAUCCAGCUGUUCCAUCUUCUGCUCAGGCAAAUGCUGUUCUGGCUCCAGUGAAAUUGAACCCAAAUGUAUCUCAGACUCUCAGCCCUGGCUUCUUGGGUCCUAACAUUUUGAACCCAGUGUUGCCUGUAGCUAUCAUGGCCUCAGCACAGCCAGCUGCCAUUCCUUCUGAUGAGACAGCUCCUGGGGUGAGUGAGAGUGACCGGGACCAGGCUCUGUUCUCUGUGUUAGUGCGUCCUCCCCCACCCCUCUCAAGCGUGUUCAGCGAACAAGCUAAAAAACUGGAGAAGCGUAAUUCAUGUUUAGCCACAGCCAAUGCUAAGGACCUGUAUGACAUAUUCUACAGUAGUGGUGGAAAGGGGACCCCUGACACUAAGCUGAGCAGUGGUCCAUUGGCCAAUGGGGAAAAUAGCAACCUCUCUAGAGCCGAAAUUUCAGACAACUCUUCCACUUCUACUUUGGGCAACAGUGCAUCCCAAGAGGAAUUGCCCAAAGAUAAGGAUUUGGUCACUGCUGCUUUAGUCAGUAACCCUGAAAAGCCCAUUGCAAAAACUCUGGUGCCCCUAGGGAAAUGGUCACUUGUAGAGCACAUAGACCCCAAAAGCAGAGGCAGCAGCCAUGGCUUCCUACAGCCUCUGACAAGGUUGUACCAAAGCAGGCCUUAUGGAACGAUUACUCCAAAAACAGACACUUUGGCCAUGUGGACUUCUAGCCCCUUCCAGAGUGAUGUAAAUAGGGAUAUGUCUCCUGAGGGGAAAAUCAAGCCUGACUUGGGAGAGCCAAGGCCACCUGGUGUAGAGCCAGCCCCCCAGCUAUCAGACAUACACUGUCAUAGCAUGAAAUCUCAGAAGUUGGUAAAAACCUACAUCAUAGAAGCUGGUAACCAGGAUAAGGAAAACCAAAAACACCAAUCUGAGGAUUGUAGAGAAGUUGAGGUAGAAACAAACACUGAACUGAAAGAAAGGGCAACAAAGCUCUCUGAGGGGGUAGUAGAGGAGAGAAUGGGUAUUGACAUUAAGUCCAUCAGCGUAGAGGAUUCUGAUUUGAACCAUGGGGACAGAUACAUGUUUGAGGGAAAAGUAGAACAGCCCACAUUGCUAAUAAUUGACAAAGAGGCUGAACAGUCCAAGAAACUGAUUACAGAGAGUGAAGCUCAAAGUGAAGUAGUGGAUGAAUUGAGUGCACAGGCUCUCUCUUCCACAAAGGCGAAAAUAGACUCAUUUCCAUCAGAAACUAAAUCUUUAGUCCAGAAGCUACAAGAUCCACCUGUGAAAAAUUCUGCCCCAGAAUUGCUUCUUCAGUCUCCAGUCAGCUCAAAUGUGCAUUUAACAGAUAGUCCACAGGAGCAAGGAAUUUUAAGUGGUAGCGAAGAGUGGCUAGAAGAUUCGGCUCUGGAACCAGCUCUUAGAACUUCUAGUUACAGAAACCUCAAACUCAAGAGAGAAGGAUCAAAAGACUUACAGGGUAAGAUGAUCUGUGAUCUGGCUGUUCGGAGUGAGAACAAGAAGAGGCCAGAGACCUGGCAGAGUCCAGAGAAACGAGAAGCAUUGGAACUACAAGAUGUCCAUCCAGAAUUAGCAAUGACAAUAGAAAGUAAGGUCUCAGAAGUCUUUGAAGCUACAGACUUAAAAUUAGAGGAGCUUGCUGCCCUAGGGGAUAUGGAUGUUACUUUCUGUAAUACUCAGGUAGAGUCAGCACAUAGAUCCCCAGCUGCCCCGUCUCAGAAAGUGUGUGAAGAAAAUUCUGUACCAUCUGUAGGGUGUAAUCCCUCUACUUCUGCUGGCUUUGAACCAAUUCAAUCCUUUUCUAGGUUUCCAUUAUAUUCUCCCAAAACCCUGGUGCUUAACUUCGGGACAGAGGGUGAGCAAAACUCAUCUAGUCCCAGAAAUGGGAGGAUCACUCCUAACAUUUUGAAAACUGGACCAUCUGUAGAAAAUGUUGACCUGGGCUUGGGAGGCCUAGAGGUAACACACCAGGCCCUUGACCUCUUAGCUGGAGGUAUGAUGCCUGAGGACGUAGAAGAAACAUCCCAAUUAGAGACACACGAGUCACUUAGAUUGGAAUCGGAAACAAUUAACCCUUCAGGCCUUGGGCCAUCUCCUUGCCUUCCAGACCUUGUUGACUUUGUCACACGGACAUCUGGAGUUCAAAAGGAGAAGCUUUGUUCUCUCUCUGAGCCAGAUGACUCUCAUGAGUAUAGUUCCCUGGAGAUGGAACCACCACAGCUAGAAAUACCGAAUGCAUCCAUCACAGAGGUAGCAAUUCCUCACAUAGAUGAGGACAAUGACAGCCCUUUGAAUUUGGUGAAAACUCCACCUUCAAGGUCCCCUCUACGAGAGCAGGUAGUUGGAGGUAAUACGGUCCCUCAGGAAAUUCCUACACAAGAAGAUGCAGUGUAUGCCAUCCAAGAUCAUACAGAAUCCAGUGUUCAUGACUAAGAAUACACACCCAGAACUGCUUGUGAAUGAAUGAGUCAAAUUGGCUUCUAGAAAUCAGGUGCCCAGACGAUCAAGGACUGGUUGGUGAUCUCAUCUGGAACCUACACCAAGAGAUGCAAUCAGCAUCUUACAGUAAAUGUUCAUGGAAGCUAAAUAAUUUACCUCCUUUCUUUUUUCCUUUUCCUACCAGACAAAUCAAUCAUAGCUUCUUGUAUAUGUAUCUGUAAAAAAGUAUUUUCUGUUAGUUUUUUUCCAGUUUAUUUUCUCUACUUUGUCAUUAAAAUUGAAUGUCUUAUCUGUGUCACCACAUAGUGUGCUUUGAUUGUAUUUUGGCUUUGACUGCUGAUUUCUAGAAUGUGGGGGAGGAGGAAGACAGAGCUGACUUCUACAAUUGCUGUGUUGUAUUCCCACCCAAUUUCCUGGGCAGCUGAUGGAUCUCUGGAAGAAACACCACAAAGCUUGCUGAAAUGGAAAAAUUCUGAUGAAAGAAGAAAGCUCAUCUCUUAGGCUUCCGGUUUGGAUGGGCCUGCCUUAACAUUGUUUGAAAUGCAGCGUGAGUAGCUCUUUUUGUUUACAUCCCGUUGACGUGUUAACUCCCAUACUUCCCUUACUGUGUUGCCUUUGCUUGAGAUGGCCCUGCUAACUCACAAACAUGUUUGGAAAUGACCUCAGUAAACAUGGAAGAAAAUCUAGCAGGCUCACUUUUGGAAGACAACAAAUCGAAGUAAUUCCAGAAAUCUUCAGGUUUCCUAAAGGAAGGACUGCAGCAGACAUCUCUAUCCCAUGGAGGCACGGAUAGAAGCCACGGAGAGUACAGAAAUGAUGAGUGCCCUUGUGGCCAGUAGCCAUUUACCUCUAGGGUCUGACUUCCAGAAGGUGGGUAUGGCUGCUGGGUCAGGGAUAGGUUGUGAAGAAGGCACUGUGAUUUCAGUUUCCAGGAAAUGUGAGUUGAGUGAGUGAAUAUGUGUACGUGGAUCUGUAUCUUUGUACCAGUAGAGAAAGAACAAGGUGAGGAUAGGCAUAAAAAUUGUAUGUUUUAAGCUUGCUCCUCCUCACCUCAUUUAUCAUUGAAUGAAUUUCCUCCUAAACUUCUCUCUCUCAUUUUGUGCCAUGAUACUUAAGUUAAAGCUGUAGAGUCCAGGUAUUCCCAUCUCUUCUAAGCAUUGAGCCCAAAUGUCCCCAGCAAGUAGAACUUCUCCUAACUCAGUUUCAGUCUCCUUUACUGGUCUUUAUAAGAAUGGAGUAAGAAUUGGUAUUUCCUUAGAGGAGUGGAGUAUGAAUAGGCAAAGAAGGCUGCAAGGAACAUGAGGACAAUCACAAAAGGAGUGUUUGAAAAAUCCUGGGAUAACAGACUUCAGGACAGCUGAGUACCUGUGCCCAUUCAGUCUUACUACUUCGCCUACAUAUAUUGAAAAAUCUGGUACACAGAAGCAGGCAAACGCCUUUUCAAAAUGGAUCUGCAAACUCAGAUUCAUUUAAAUCUGAGGUGCCCCAGUUCCAGAUAUACCUAAAAAAACCAUCAACCUAGUUUUGUCCCUGAUUUGUAAAUCUAGGCACUUAUCUUGGAGGUCUAGCAUACUGACCAGACGCUUCUAUGAUUUUGAUAACUUUGGGGAAGACUUGUGACACUACAAAUAUGAAAAAUGUAAUGUACAACCAAAGCCAUUUGUAGAAAAGGAAUAAGAGGUAUCUCAGGGGCUCUUGAUGCUGAGCUUAUAUUAGGGUUAAAGAACUAUUCAUUCUUAAGUCAUGACCUUGUGGAUGAAGCAAUGGAAAGCACUCUGGUGCUGAGGCUGCCAACACUUUGUCACCACCACUUUUCCUCCCUUGUUCCAGGCCAAGAUCUGUUUCUCAUCAGCCACCACAUUCCUCUGCUCAGGGACAACAGUGCUGGUCACCACCUUUCAUUCCUAACUAUGACUCACAGUCCUACUUUGAGCCCCUGUUUUGCUGCUUAGGCCUCCAUUCCCAUUGCUCUCUGAAGUCCGUAUCUGAGGUUGCUGAUCUAGGGGAUGGGCAGGGGAAAAGGGAGUAUUUUUUAGAGUAAUGUCUUUUCCCUAUGGACUUCUAUUAUUUGAUAUGCUAGAGUUCAUAUAUAUUAAGAAUGAUGAAAUAUUUAAGAUCCAUUUCUUUUUUGAAAUAAAAUCCAUAUAACAUUAAAUUUCAUCUAACAUUAAAUUUCAUGUAACAUAAAAUUCACCAUUUUUAAAUUGCACAAUUUUUAGCUUAUUUACAAGGUUGAAUAGCCAUCACCACUAUCUAAUUCCAGAACAUUUCCAUCACCCCCCACCCCCCAAAAAAACCCAUACCCAGUAGCAGUCACUCCCAAUUCUCCCCUGCCCCUAGCUCUUGGCAACCCUGAAUUUAUAUUCUAUCUCUCUGGAUUUGCCUAUUCUGAACAUUUCAUAUAAACAGAGUCAUAAAAUAUGUGGUCUUUGUAUCCAGUUUCUUCUUAGCAUCAUGUCUUUGUGGUUCAUCAGUGCUGUAGAAUGUGUCAUUCUGUUUUAUGACUGAAUAAUAUUCCAUUGUGUGGAUAUCCCACAUUUUGUUUAUUCAUUCUUCAGUUCAUGGACAUUUGGGUUAUUUCCACUUUUUGGCUAUUAUCAAAUAUUUGUGUAGAAGCUUUUGUGUGGGCAUGUGUUUUCAAUUCUU